rfam:Picea glauca, whole genome shotgun sequence.
GCUUGCUUAGCUUAGAGGUUAGAGCAUCGCACUUGUAAUGUGAUGGUCAUUGGUUUGAUCUCGAUAGCUGGCU